rnacentral:rRNA from 1 species
UACGAAGGGGGCUAGCGUUGUUCGGAAUUACUGGGCGUAAAGCGCACGUAGGCGGAUUGUUAAGUCGGGGGUGAAAUCCUGAGGCUCAACCUCAGAACUGCCUUCGAUACUGGCGAUCUUGAGUUCGGAAGAGGUUGGUGGAACAGCUAGUGUAGAGGUGAAAUUCGUAGAUAUUAGCUAGAACACCAGUGGCGAAGGCGGCCAACUGGUCCGACACUGACGCUGAGGCGCGAAGGCGUGGGGAGCAAACAGG